rnacentral:rRNA from 1 species
GAGUUUGAUCCUGGCUCAGAUUGAACGCUGGCGGCAUGCCUUACACAUGCAAGUCGAACGGCAGCAUGAUCUAGCUUGCUAGAUUGAUGGCGAGUGGCGAACGGGUGAGUAAUACAUCGGAACGUGCCCUGUAGUGGGGGAUAACUAGUCGAAAGAUUAGCUAAUACCGCAUACGACCUGAGGGUGAAAGUGGGGGACCGCAAGGCCUCAUGCUAUAGGAGCGGCCGAUGUCUGAUUAGCUAGUUGGUGGGGUAAAGGCCCACCAAGGCGACGAUCAGUAGCUGGUCUGAGAGGACGAUCAGCCACACUGGGACUGAGACACGGCCCAGACUCCUACGGGAGGCAGCAGUGGGGAAUUUGGACAAUGGGCGAAAGCCUGAUCCAGCAAUGCCGCGUGUGUGAAGAAGGCCUGG